AUGGUCUGUGUUUUCUAUUUACAGAUUUUUGGGAACAGUGUCUGAAAAGUUUUGGGACCAACAGAACACUGAGUUAAGAAUGGAAAUGUGAAUGUUGGAAGUAUGAAGAUAAGGGUGCGGUAUGGAAGUGGAUUGUUGAUUGAGUGAAGGAGAAUAGGCAACACCUUGUGGAUGCCUAUAUGAGGGGAAAGUGGGGAGCUUGAUGGGUUGUAUAUCAGUUUAGAAAAGGUUGAAGCUGGAUGUAAUGGGCCAAAGGUUGUGAGAGGAAUGUAGGAAAAGUUAGAACUAGACACAAGGGGGAAUUUAAAGGGAAUAGGAAGAAGGAAACUGAGAAGGAACCUGCAAGUGAGGGAUCUCUAGAAGCAAAGUGAAGGAAUUACUAGGAAGAACAGGAGUAGGAAUAGAGUACAAUGUUAGGGUGACAGAGUCAAUCAAGAUUUUUAAGCUGGUUAGGGCAACUAAGGAAAUAGUUAAUUUUGAAGUGCAUGGGAUAGGAAGGAAAGGUAAUUUAUAGGGGAUCAGAUGAGAUAAAAAAGGCAAUGGAGGAGAAGUAAAAAAGGACUCACAAGAAAAUGCGCUAGGUAAGAUGAGAAAUGGGAGGAAGCACAAGGAGAGCAAGGCCUUGUUGAAAAGGUUGGCUAGGGAAAGUAAUGAAAGGUGAGGAACAUAGCGAAAUAUUUGGGGAACAAGAGGCGAGGUGUAAGGGUGUUGAGGCCAAGGAGCAUGGGAGUAUUGGAAGCUGGUUCAAGCGGUGCAUUGGGGAAAGGAAUGAUGUGAGGGCAAUCCCGAAAGAAGAGUGAGCGAGAGUAUAUUAGAGUUGAAGAGAACGAUGCAGAUUGAUGGGUAUGAAGUCACAAAUUAAGGGCAUUGGAUUGGGGGUGGAUGGGGUGAGGGCAAUGUCAAAAGAAGAGGGAGUGAGUAGGUAUAUUAGAGGUGAAGAGAGCGAUGGACAGAGUGAUGGGUGUAAAGACAGAAAUCAAGGGCAUGAUGAUGAAAGUUAAACAGUCACUGCUCUGCCUCUCAAGUUAUAAGUGUGAGAUGGAAGGGGAAGAAGAAUACAGAGCAUGUAGGAUGAAGUAAUGGAGAGUAAGCCCAUCGAGGAGGGACGUCCCAUCUUCCUUGGUUCAUGCUGCCCCGUGGAGCUCAUCUUUGAUCUUCUUUAGAGUUAAUCAAGUCCGGAUUGAUAGGUGUUCUUCAGGACAGCAUGUGGGUAGUCUUAGGCCGUGCGGCAAUGACUGAUAAAAAAAUUGUCAGGUUGUAGCGAUGGGUUGGGCAUAGAGAAUUGGUAUUUUUGUUAAGUUGCCUAUUUUUAUAAGGGAUUUUUAUAGUUCAUAUAUGGCAAGCCUAUGAAGGGGUGAAGAGUUUACCCAGGCAGGAGAAAGAGUGGUGACUGGAGGAGACUUCACUGGGCAUGUUAGUGAAGGGAACAGCAGCAGUGAGGUGAUGGGUAGGCAGAGUUUCAGGAAGAGGAAUGGGGAGGGCAGAAUCUGAUGGUCAUGUAUUUUGCGAAGAGGAUGGAAAUGGCUGAGGUUAAUAUGUAUUUCAAAAAGAGCGUGAUGUGCAGGGUGGCGUAUGGGUGUGGAGGGUGGUACUCGCAAGUGGACUAUGUACUAUAUCUUAUCCAGGAGGCAGUACUUGCGAGAGAUUGGAGAGCAGAAGUCAGUUAGCUAGACAGAAUGACUUUAGAGAUUAAGAUGAGAUAUAGAGUGCUGAAGGGUGAAGAAAGAGAACUUGUGUGGAAUGAAUGUCAGGGAGGAUAUAAAGCAGGAACUGGGUGGUAGAGAAGAGUUGCUGGAUGGCAGGUAGCUAGACAGGAUGACUUUAGAGAUCAAGAUGAGGAAGAAAGUGCUGAAGUGAAGACAGGAGUAUUUUGUGGAGUGGAGUUCAGGAAGGGAAUAAAAACGGCUCUGGGCGGUGCAGGAAAGUUGCUGGGUGGCUGGGCGAGUACUGUAGAAGAAGCAGUGAGAGAGACUGUUAGGAAGGCACUCGGUGUAUCAUAUGGGCAAAGGAAGGAAGACGUGGAAACUUGACGAUGGAAUGAGGAAGCAAAGGAGAGCAUAUAGAGAGAGAGAGAGAGAUGGUUGGAUGACUAUUGUAGAAGCAGUGAGAGAUACAGGUAGGAAGGCACUCGGUGUAUCAUGUGGACAGAGGAAGAAAGACAUGGAAACUUUACGAUGGAAUGAGGAAACAAAGAAAAGCAUGCAGAGAGAGAGAGAGAGAGGUUGGUGAAGAAGAGGGAGUGGAGUUGUCAGGUGGCAGUAGACAGGAGUAUAAGGAGAUGAGGUGUAAAGCAAAGAAAGAUAUUGGUGGCAAAGGCUAGGGGAGAGGCUUUGCAAUGGAUCAAGGAAUUAAAGAAAAGCCUGUGGAGGGAGAGGUUGAUGAAGAAGUGGAAUAAUAAAAUUAAGAAAGUAGACAUGAGUACAAGGAAAUGGGGGAUAAGGUAAAGAAGAAUGGGAGGAAAAGUAAGAGGAGGAGGAGGAGGAAGAGCCAUGGACUAAAAGGAUGAAAUGAAGUAGAAGGAAAAAAGGAUAAGGAAAGAGAGGAGAGCAAGAGAGGAAAAAAAGUUGCAUUCUGUUUUGUGGGUCUACAGAAAGCAAAUGACGAGGCAUUUAGAGAAGAGGUCAGCCGCUGUAUGAGGAAGUAAGGAGUACAAGAGAAGUGCAGGGGAUGUGUGAGGGUAGUGUGAGGGAGGUGUAGUUAAUAGCUUGUGAGUUUAUAGUGGUGGUAUCAAUGAGUUUUUUCUUAUUUGUAGUGGUGAUAGACAGGCUGGGGGACAAGAUGGGUGUACCAAUGAAGGGAAUGGAUUGUGGAGCUGCUGAAUGGGUGAGAUGCAGGACUUGGAUGGUUUGGGUAUGGGAUGAAAAUGAAUUAGGAAGACUUUGGAGAUCAAAAUGGGGAAAAGAGUGGUGAAAGAUGAAAGGAAUGGAUUGUGGAGUUGCUGAAUGAGGGAGAAGUAGGACUGAAAAGGUAUAGGUAUGGAAUGAAAAUGAAUAAGGAUGAGUGUGUGAGGAGACUGUAUGAGGGCAGGAGUGAGGGAGAGGGUGGGUGUCAGGGGGAGACCAUCAGUGAAGUGUAUCAAGAUACUGGAUGCUUAAGCAGCAAGUGAAGUGAUGUGAAGUGAAGUGCCAUCCGGUGUGGGGCACUGUAACCAUCCAAUGCUCCACGCCACACCUCUGUGGCAGCUCCUGGCUCUGUGCCACGGUGCCGCCCCACCCGUGGGGGUCUGGAGGAGGUGGUGCGGGGUUGUGUUGGGACUGACUCAAGUAUGCCGUCCACGCUCCCCGCCCUUCCUAGCUGGCAGGGCUGUGGGUGUGUGGAUGGGCUGAAAGACCACUGUGCCUUAAACAUGACCCUGUGCUGCCGAGGCCAGACUCCUGCCAUCAUUAAGCUGAUCUGCUGGCUGGUGGAGGCCUCGGCGCCGGCUGGCCAGUGUGGAGGCGCCUGCUUGGCCUGCUCUUCAGUGUGGUAAGUACCAUGUACAGCUCAUCGCGGGACAUCGUGGGACAGCACGGGACAAGAGGAACGGCACAAGGAAAGUGACAAAGUUCUGUUCUUUGGUUAGGGCUCGGCUAGGACACUAACUUAACCCUUGCCUUUCAGGGACUGAAUAAUGUUGGCUAAGUCUUUCCAGGCACUCUUAGACUUUUAGGAAAGUGUGGAGAAAAAGAAAAAGAAGGUAUGAAAUCAGAGGAAAUAUGAGAACGAACGUCAUGAAACUAGACAUUGCUGUCAGUUGAUCAGAAGGAGGAAUAUUUUAUAAAUCGGAGCUGAUACAGAGCAGCUGAGCUCAUAUAAAAAAUGAUUCUUCUCAUGUAAGGGAGGAAGCAGCUACAUACCAAGGUCUGAAGAAAAGAGGUGGAUGAAUGGCCAAUAGGCCUAAGUUCAAGAAAAAGAAGAAGUAAAAGAAGAAAAAGCAGAAGAGGAGAAGGAGACAAGCCGAGGAUAGUUAGCGAGGGGACGAGAAGUGAGGU